GAUGAACGCUGGCGGCGUGCCUAAUACAUGCAAGUCGAGCGAACGGACGAUAAGCUUGCUUCUCUGAUGUUAGCGGCGGACGGGUGAGUAACACGUGUAUAACCUACCUAUAAUACUGGUAUAACUUCGGGAAACCGGAGCUAAUACCGUAUAAUAUUUUGAACCGCAUGGUUCAAAAGUGAAAGACGGUCUUUCUGUCACUUAUAGAUGGAUCCGCGCUGCAUUAGCUAGUUGGUAAGGUAACGGCUUACCAAGGCAACGAUGCAUAGCCGACCUGAGAGAGUGCUCGGCCACACUGGAACGGAGACACGGACAAGAGUCCUACGGGAGGGAGCAGUAGGGAAUGUUCCGCAAUGGGCGAAAGCAUGACGGAGCAACGCCGAGUGAGAGAUGAAGGUCUUGGGAUCGUAAAACUCUGUUAUUAGGGAAGAACAUAUGUGUAAGUAACUGUGCACAUCUUGACGGUAACUAAUCAGAAAGCCACGGCUAACUACGUG
rnacentral:rRNA from 1 species